UUCUUAUCAAGAGAAGUUGAGGGAUAGGCCCGAUGAAACUUCAGCAACCAGCCAAUUCAUUAUGGUAUGGUGCUAAUUCCUGCAGAGUUCAUGAGCUCUGGAAGAUGAGAA
rnacentral:ncRNA from 2 species